UACAGAGGGUGCAAGCGUUGUUCGGAAUUAUUGGGCGUAAAGCGCGUGUAGGCGGCUUUGCAAGUCGGGUGUGAAAGCCCUCAGCUCAACUGAGGAAGUGCGCCCGAAACUGCAGAGCUUGAGUGACCGGAGAGGGUGGCGGAAUUCCCCAAGUAGAGGUGAAAUUCGUAGAUAUUGGGAGGAACACCAGUGGCGAAGGCGGCGUCACUGGACCGGUUC
rnacentral:rRNA from 1 species